rnacentral:rRNA from 1 species
GAAUUCAACUCCUACGGGAGGCAGCAGUGGGGAAUUUUGCGCAAUGGGGGAAACCCUGACGCAGCGACGCCGCGUGGAGGAUGAAGGUCUUCGGGUUGUAAACUCCUUUUCUUGGGGAAAAUGGUGAUGGUACUCAAGGAAUAAGCCACGGCUAACUCUGUGCCAGCAGCCGCGGUAAGACAGAGGUGGCGAGCGUUGUUCGGAAUUACUGGGCUUAAAGGGCGAGUAGGCGUUCUGAUAAGUCAGCUGUGGAAUCUUUUCGCUUAACGGAAAAAUUGCAUCUGAAACUAUCGGGAUUGAGUCAGUGAGGGGAGGGCGGAAUUCCUGGUGUAGCGGUGAAAUGCGUAGAUAUCAGGAGGAAGGCCUGUGGCGAAGGCGGCCCUCUGGCACUGUACUGACGCUGAGGCGCGAAAGCGUGGGGAGCAAACAGGAUUAGAAACCCGAGUAGUCCAGGCGUU